AGAGUUUGAUCCUGGCUCAGGAUGAACGCUGGCGGCGUGCCUAAUACAUGCAAGUCGAGCGGUAACACUUCGGGUGACGAGCGGCGGACGGCUGAGUAACGCGUAGGAACGUACCCCAAACUGAGGGAUAAGCACCAGAAAUGGUGUCUAAUACCGCAUAUGGUCUUCGGAUUAAAGCUUCGGCGGUUUGGGAACGGCCUGCGUAUGAUUAGCUUGUUGGUGAGGUAAAAGCUCACCAAGGCGACGAUCAUUAGCCGGUCUGAGAGGAUGAUCAGCCAGACUGGGACUGAGACACGGCCCAGACUCCUACGGGAGGCAGCAGUAGGGAAUCUUCCACAAUGGGCGAAAGCCUGAUGGAGCAACGCCGCGUGCAGGAUGAAAGCCUUCGGGUCGUAAACUGCUUUUAUAUGUGAAGACUUCGACGGUAGCAUAUGAAUAAGGAUCGGCUAACUCCGUGCCAGCCGCCGCGGUAAUAC
rnacentral:rRNA from 1 species